GGUGUCUAGUCAACUUUGUGCCAUUGUCUUCAAGAACUGGGACUUCAGCCACUUCCCUGCAUGUGCCAAGCUUUUCCAGAAAGACUGCAAAAGUGUUCCCAGUGCUCAGCCAUGCUUCCAGUCCUCAUCUCGUUCCUGGGGAUGCAUUUUUUCUUGGGAGACAUCCAAGCACAGUCAGUUACUCAGCCUGAUGCCCAUGUCAUUGUCUUCGAAGGAGACUCGGUGGAGCUCAGAUGCACUUAUUCCUACAGUGGAGUUCCUUACCUCUUCUGGUACAGGCAGAGCCCUAGCUAUGGCCUCCAAUUUCUCCUCACAUACUUUUCAGGAGACCCCGUGGUUCAUGGCUUGAGUGGUUUUGAGGCUGAGUUUGGCAAGAGCGACUCUUCCUUCCACCUGAAGAAAGCCUCUGUGCACCUAAGUGACUCUGCUGUAUACUUCUGUGCUCUGAGUACACAGUGUCUGGGGCUGCAGGGGGAGCUGAACACAAACCUGACAAUGCAAUGGAGACUCAGUGACACAAACAGAAGUCCAAGUGACACGUCUCUGACUGUGAACUGCUCCUAUGAAACUGAAGAGUACCCAACCCUGUUCUGGUACGUGCAGUAUCCCAGAGAAGGUCCACAGCUCCUCGUAAGAGCCUUGAAAACAAAUGAAAAGGGAGGAAGCAGAGAUUUUGAAGCUACAUAUGAUAGAGGAUCCACUUCCUUCCACUUGCAGAAAGCCUCUGUCCAAGAGUCAGACUCGGCUGUGUACUACUGUGCUCUGAGUGACAGUGGCACAAUCUGCAUGGGAAGAUGA